CUAAAGCAGGGGCAGGGCAAACCGUAUUGUUGGCUCCGCCUAGGGUUUUAGCACCUGCCGCCACAACCUCCCUUCUACUGCCGCCGCAACCUCCCUUCUACUGCCGCUGCAACCUCCCCAUCCUUCGAAUCCCAUCUGACCUAGCCCCGCAACCCGCCGGACGACGAGCAGCGAGGUCCGCGGCAGAGAUGGACCGGUACCUGAGGGUGGAGCGGUCGUGGAACGAGUCAACCAUUGAGGAUAACGAGAUCCGCAUCACCGCGCAGGGCCUCAUCUGCAACUAUGUCUCCUACGGUAGCUCCCUCCUCCAGACCUCUAUGCUGGGUUGAACAUAUGUCGUUGGACAAUGAAACUGGAUUAGACAAACCUGGAAUAAGGGCCAGGUCAGUCACAGGCCUUGUUGCAGCAGACUAUUUCGUCCCUGGAUAUUUUUUUGGGCUAUCUUAAUUGCCAAUUUAGCUCGUAUUGGAUAUGAAGAAAAGACCAUGUACAUGGCUGCAUAUGAUUGGAGGUUAUCUUUCCAGAACACUGAGGUUCAUGAUCAAACUUUGAGCAGAAUAAAGAGCAAUAUUGAACUCAUGGUAGCAACAAAUGGUGGAAAUGGGGUGGUCGUGAUCCCACACUCCAUGGGGGUCCUCUAUUUUCUGCAUUUUAUGAAAUGGGUCGAAGCACCUCCUCCCAUGGGGGGCGGUGGUGGUCCGAACUGGUGUGAGAACCAUAUUAAAGCUGUAAUGAAUAUUGGAGGACCUUUCUUAGGAGUUCCCAAGGCUGUUGCUGGGCUUUUCACAUCUGAAGCCAAAGAUGUUGCCGUUGCUAGGUAUAAGGUAAUUGAUUCAUUUAUUUAAAGCAAAAGGGAAUAGCAAAAGAAUGGAAUAUUAUUGGAUGCUCGACAAUCUUGGCGGAGCUUUUCCAUCUUCUGGACCUCACAAGUCCAGGGAGUGCCUGCCUCUGAUCCUCAUCAUUAGGAACAAGCUCAAGUAUGCACUGACGUACCGUGAGGUCAUUUCUAUCCUGAUGCAACGCCAUGUACUUGUUGAUGGCAAGGUCAGGACUGACAAGACCUACCCUGCUGGGUUUAUGGAUGUCAUUUCUAUCCCUAAGACAAACGAGAACUACAGGCUGCUUCCGUCUUCACCCAAUCAGGGAUGAGGAUGCCAAGGUUAGGCCAUUGUCUGAUGUUUGACGUCGGCAACGUGGUCAUGGUGACCGGCGGGAGGAACACCGGGCGUGUAGGAGUGAUCAAGAACAGGGAGAAGCAGAAGGGCAGCUUCGAGACCAUCCACGUGCUGGUUGGAGCUUUUUGCUAUGUCUAGUUUUAUCCUUUUUGUUGUACAGGAAAACAUAGAAUGAAAUUCAAAUUUGGUGGCCGCAAAAGUGUGGAGACUUGAUUUCAUAUAAAGUUAGGCUUAACAUUAGUGCAAACUGUUGUAUUUUAGUCUAGAUUUAGAGUACACUUAUGU